UCAUUUGAAGGGGCUAUGGACUUCCUGAUAGGGGAAACCUUCUGGACUAUAGAAGUGUCUGAUCUAAUGCCCUCUGAUUGGAGAAGCUGACGAAGUUGGUCAGAAGCCCAAAGAUGGGGUUAGGGCCAUGGGCAGCCGGGCCUCCCCUCUCUCUUUCCUGCACCGCUUGAAGCCAUGGCAGGGAAGCUCUGAACGCAAAGGAGAAAAGAGGUGGGAACCAGAAGCCCAGACUUGCUGUGUGUCCUCAGCUUCUUCUCCAGGUCUCUGAGCGUCUCCUGCUUCAAGGUGGUUUCCUCCUUCCGCACCUCGACUGGCCUCAUCAUUUUCUCCAUCCUCACCCAUUCAGCCCGCUCGGCCGCCUCCUCCCGCUCGGCCUCCUCCUCCUCCUCCACCUUCUCCCUCAGGACCUCCAUUCUGGAGUGUCUCUGGCUGUCUGGAGAUGGAAUGUCUCUGUGGGGAAGGACCCUGGAGAUCCCAUCCAUGUCAUGUGGACAUCAGAUCACAUGAUUCUGCCCUUCUGGUUGCAGCUGAUUGGACCAGAGAUGGAUGAUGGACACUCGACUUGCAAGACAACAGAGCCCAUCACCUCCCUGGUGCAGGGGCCUCACCUUGCAAGGAGUUGAAAAGUGCAAAGAUGUAGACGGUGGAGAGGCCCAACGGGGUGAGGAUGGCCAACCCCCAUGUCACACCCACCAGGCUUGAGAGGCCCAGCAGGGGGGAAUCUGGGAGAAGGAACCACAGGACUCUGCACUAUUUUUGCAACUUUCUGUUUUAUCUCAAAAUAAAAUCCUUCUCAAUCCUG
rnacentral:antisense_RNA from 1 species